ACUCGAGCGCCCCGGGAGCCAGAGGGCGGGGGUCCUCGCCGGGACCCUCCUGUGGGCCCAGGGGGACAAAAGUGGCUCUCAAUCCAGCACAUGCACAUUGAAGCAAGUUAAAGGAUUUAAUAUGAAGCACAGAAGCAGAUAGUGCCAAAUAGCAAGCAGUAGUUGUUACACAUUUGUGAGUAAAAAUGGUCCCUUUUGGCUUACUUUCUUAGUCUUUAAAUCGUCUGCAUGCCAAAUCCUUAAAGAUCUAUGUCCCCAGAGAUUUUUUGAUAAAGAAUAAAAGAUCUGGAAAAGCAGUGUCCGUGUUGUUAUGUACACCUCCAAAAAAAGUUCAAAUGUGUAGGGGAAUUGUUGUGUAAAGUAAACUGAACUGCAGGGUAGCAGUAUUUUAAUAGCUAUUAUAGACCUGUAUUUACUGUAUUUAAAUGAGUAAAGGAACAAGCAGUGACACAUCACUAGGAAGGGUGAGCAGGGCAGCAUUUCCUUCUCCCACUGCUGCUGAGAUGGCAGAAAUUAGUCGAAUUCAG
rnacentral:lncRNA from 1 species